UCACAAACACUGCUGAAGUCAGGAAAGGCCAGGCUCACACAAGCAGGUGCCCUCAGGUCCAAUCUAGCACACUGAGCCUCCCAAUGAUAGGAUGCCCAUUCCUCUGAACACCCGCCAACUCCUCGACCCACCUGAUUGCCAAAGACAGCCAUGGAGCAGGCUGUUGACACCUCAUUAGCCCCGAACCAGACGGAAGCAAUGCGGGAGGGCAUGCCCAGGAUGAACACCUGGGCCACAGAGCAGAUGAUCUGGCCUAGGACGGUGACGGGGAAGAGAUGUGGCUUCAGGCUACCCAACUUCACCCAGGCCCCCAGGCAGUUGAGAGCAGAGCCGGUGAGGGCGAUGGUGCGCAGGCCGAAUUUCUCCAGCAGCCAGGCCACCGGCAGGAGCAGAGGGAUGUAGGUCAGCAUGUAACACAUGGACAGCCAGUCGAUGGCAAAGGCGCUGACCCCGUAGAAGUUCAUGAAGAUGUUGUUGAUGGAGCCGUACUGGAUCCACUGGAAGGCGUUGCACAUGGAGUAGCAGCUGAAGAGCAGGACCACCACCCAGCGGCGCUUGCUCACCUUGAUCACGCUAAGCUCCUCGGGACACGAGCUACUGGGGUGGGCCAAGCCCCCGGGCUGGGCCAAGCUCUCAAGAACUCUUUUGUCUGCCCAGCAGGAGGGCACAUUUCCGGCGUUCUGGCCCUGGGUGCCACUCCUGGGCUCCGUGUUCCAGUGUUUGUGCACUGAUUCCAGAUGGCAGCACGUAAUCUCAAGUGGAUUUCCUGACAUGAAUGAUGCACCUUGGAGACAACCUUUGACAACUAAACAGAGAAGUUUCUGGAUUAACUUUGGGCAGAGUAAAGCAAGUGUUUGGUGAGACCAUCCUGCCUUCUAGAAGGUAUAAUGACAAGCUCAGCAGUCUCUCACCAGUGAUCUUCCAGAAGGAGCUAGACAGACUACCAGGCAGCAGUGGAAUUUGCCUAUAAAAAUUUCCCUAAUAAAUUCCUCUAAGAUGGGACGCCUGGGUGGCUCAGCAGUUGAGCGUCUGCCUUCGGCUCAGGGUGUGAUCCCAGGAUCUGGGAUCGAGUCCCAUAUUGGGCUCCUUGCGGGAAGCCUACCUCUCCCUCUGCCUAUGCC